UGUUGUCGGGUUCCCACCCGCCGGUUCCGCCGCUGCCGAGAUGAUGUGCGGAGCGCCCAGCACCACGCAGCCGGCCACGGCCGAGAUGCAGCACAUCGCCGACCAGGUGCUGUCCCAGCUUGAAGAGAAAGAAAAUAAGAAGUUCCCCGUCCUCAAGGCUGUGUCAUUCAAGAAGCAGGUGGUCGCGGGCACGAACCACUUCAUCAAGGUUCACGUUGGUGACGAUAACUUCGCGCACUUGAGGGUAUUUGAAAGUCUUCCUCAUGAAAACAAGCCCUUGGCCCUGUCUAACUACCAGACCGACAAAACCAAAGGCGAUGAGCUGACCUAUUUCUGA